UUGAGAGCCCCCAAUCCUGAAACCUUCUGCUUAUCCACAGAACAAGUACAUCACAUGUGACCGUGGGACAAGCUUCCCCCUGCUGCCCUGCCAAUCUGCCUUCAUCCUUUCUUGGAUGGGUCAGUUGUAGAGGUGAGAGGGGAAUGCAGUCCCUACCCACCAUUCAAUCCUUGGUGUCU
rnacentral:sRNA from 1 species